UACGAAGGGGGCGAGCGUUGUUCGGAUUUACUGGGCGUAAAGGGCGCGCAGGCGGCCGCAUUUGUCAGGCGUGAAAGCCCCGGGCUUAACCUGGGAACUGCGUUUGAUACGGUGUGGCUAGAGUUCGGGAGAGGAGAGUGGAAUUCCCAGUGUAGAGGUGAAAUUCGUAGAUAUUGGGAAGAACACCAGUGGCGAAGGCGGCUCACUGGCCCGAUACUGACGCUGAG
rnacentral:rRNA from 1 species